AGUCGAACGGGCUCUUCGGAGCAAGUGGCGGACGGGUGAGUAACGCGUGAGAAUGUGCCUUGAGGAUGGGGAUAACAAUAGGAAACUAAUGCUAAGACCCAAUAUGCCUGGUAAGGGUGAAAAAUGAAAAUUGCCUGAAGAGGAGCUCGCGUCUGAUUAGCUAGUUGGGGUGGUAAAAGCGCACCAAGGCAACGAUCAGUAGCUGGUCUGAGAGGAUGAGCAGCCACACUGGGACUGAGACACGGCCCAGACUCCUACGGGAGGCAGCAGUGGGGAAUUUUCCGCAAUGGGCGAAAGCCUGACGGAGCAAUACCGCGUGAGGGAGGAAGGCUCUUGGGUUGUAAACCUCAAAACUUAGGGAAGAAAAAAAUGACGGUACCUAAUUUAAGCAUCGGCUAACUCCGUGCCAGCAGCCGCGGUAAUAC
rnacentral:rRNA from 1 species